rnacentral:lncRNA from 1 species
GUUGCCUAGGCUGGAUUGCAGCGGUGCGAUCAGGACUCAUUGCAUCCUCAACCUCCCCGACUCAAGCAGUCCUCCCACCUCAGCCUCCUGAGUAGCAAGGCUACAUGACCCCUUGCGCUUCCCAAGUGAGGCAAUGCCUCGCCCUGCUUCGGCUCGCGCACGGUGCGCGCACCCACUGACCUGCGCCCACUGUCUGGCACUCCCUAGUGAGAUGAACCCGGUACCUCAGAUGGAAAUGCAGAAAUCACCCGUCUUCUGCGUUGCUGACGCUGGGAGCUGUAGACCGGAGCUGUUCCUAUUCGGCCAUCUUGGCUCCUCCCCUGCACUUUUCAAAUAAGAGACCUGGGGGAUUUUAGAACAGGGCUUUCAAGGUAAUGAAGGAAGAGAAUCUUCUUUGGACUUCUUUUUGCUCCAGAUGCGGAGAAGGCAACUUCCCGGAGUCUCUACCAGUGAGAAGGCUACAGAAUCAUGGGGAGAUAAGGUCUCGCUCUGUGGCUAUAGCUCACUGCAGCCUCAAAUUCCUGCGCUCAAGUAAUCCUCCCACCUCAGCUUCCCAAGUAGAUGGGACUACAGCGAUGGGGUCUCACUAUGUUGCCCAGGCUGGUCUCAAACUACAGUGGCUCAAACAAUCCUUCCAGUACUGCCUCCCGAGGUGCUGGGAUUAUAAGCGUGAGCCACAGCACCUGGCCACAGAGUACAUUUUAAAUGUCUUAAUAAAACGUGACAGAAAGUCUAGGUAGAAAGCAGCUAUCUUUGAUGACAGAAUGAUAAAGAAACCCACCUUUCUCCCAACAAUCCAUAAACACCCUGAGGAGAUGUCACCUUCUAUGUAAUAUCACUUGGAUACUGAAAAUUCUCCAUGAACUGGAAGAAUGUAUGCUUCAGUGUGGUAAACAGAAUUUCUAAAAUGACCUCUUCCUCCCUGAGAUAUCCUGACAUAAUACCCUAAAUUUGUAAGAUAACAUUCUUCUACCACGAAGAGGGAGAUUGACUAUUUUAUCAGUCAUUAAUUUUAAGAAUAUAUAUGUAAUAUAUAGCUUUUUUUUUUUUUUUUACUUUAACAUAUGUUCCCACAUAGCCAAAUGAUUCAACUCAGUACAGUUAACAACUUAGAAAGGGAUUCAUUGAAUUUUCCAGGUCUCUUCAUGGCCAGAGUUGCUUUGUAAGGAGACCCUAAAUGUGGAAUAAUCAACAUGUUAAAGUAAUCUAGAUGUUUAUGAUUUGAUAACUCUUUAGUGCAUUGUUUAACAACAUGUUUUCAAUUUACUUUCCUUCAAAUAGCUCCAAAUAACCCCGUGAUUUUGGAUGAUUGAUUAUGGGAAUGCUGCUUUCACUGUACAUCCAAGCUCUCCUGGCCUCAGCGGAUAAGUAUAUGAGAGCACAGUUUUCCUGGUGUCAGGAUAUGAAGAUCCAGGGAACAAAGAACCUCAAAGAACAACACCUGGAUUGUCAAGGUUUGGCCAGCAGUGCACUUUCUCCAACCUUACAGUCAUACGCAAGUUGUGGUUCUCCUGUCCAGCCUGCCACCACUGGACCAUCCCUGUAGACAUUCCUUCUCCCUUUGAAGAAAUCCACAAAAGAAAAAGCAAAAUACUGACAAGUUUUCAAAGCCAUGAUUUACAGGAAUGAAUUCUGAAAAGCAAGUGGCUAACAUCCGAGUUCAUCAUCAAAUAAUAUUUCUAAAGCACCCUCUAGUGUCUGGCCCCAAGCCAGAUGAUUCAACGCCUGGAGAAGCUACAGACUUUUUAAAAGUAAAAUAGACUCAUGUCUGCUCAUGAGAAGCAAGUCAGCGUCAUUUAGGAUGCCUUAGGAAUGUCUCUCUAAAUAAGGAUUAAAAAUGGAUUGCUGUAGAAAAAGUAAUACAAGUACAAACACUAAUAAUAUUGAAUGCAAUUUAAAUUCCAUUUUAAAAUAGAUAAUAGGGUUUAAAAUAACAUGUUGAAAAUUACACUGGAAUUAGCAAAAUUUAAAAUCUUAGGAAGAAAAAUCCUAAUUUGUAUGUGAAAAUGUUUUGAACUGAGGAAAAUUAAGACUAGCAAGAGUAGAUAGGGGUUGUCUAGUAGGAAUGUUAGACCCAUCAGCCAUCUGAUUAUGCUGCGACUGAUACUAGCGUGUAGUUUUCACCCAGUAAAUUAUCAAGUGGUGCAGUAGAAAAAGCAUGGUAUGUAGAAUCAUAAGACUCAUAGUCUGGGGUCACCUCUACUACUCACUUGGCCAUGUGGUUUGGAACACAUCACAAAAGAUUUAUGAGCCUUCGCUUCUUCACAUCUAAAAUCGUGAUUAUUUUGCCAACUCCAUGGAAUUGUUUAGACUUUAGAGGAUUACAUAGGAUACAAUGGACUAGUUCCUUGAACAAGUACUUGCCCCCAAAAUGUUACCAUUUUUUCUGGUUGUGUGACUGAUUUUGCAAUCAGCAAUUUAAUAAUAAUGCAUUCAACAGGUUUAUAAUAUGCAUUCAAUGUGACUCUUGCAUAUAUCUCAUAAAAACAAAUUUGAAUAUUUUUCUCAUUUUAUCACUCACAUAUCUUUGAGAAUGGGAUCAUAGUUUUAUUUUGAUAAUGAAGUAAUAGAGUCAAUUCCUGAACAGGCUAGUUGACUUUAAUGAGAAAUACCCAUUUAUUCACUCAUUCAUUUCAUUUUCAACUCUUAAAUCCAUAAUGGCCCCUUCACUAACUGCACUAACUGGGGUUCUUAUAUUAAUAAGAUGGACCAGAUGCUUCUAUCACCUCCAAAAAAUCUUUGUAGGCAGAGCAAUAAAGAGUACUGAAUCAUUUUAAGAAGUCGCAUAGACAAUGACUUUUGACCAUGGAAGGACUGGGCUUGAUCAAGCAAAUUCUAUUUCAAAGUUUUACUUGCAAGGUUAUUUAUUACUGUGUGGAAUCUCACUCCUGUGGCUGGGGUCAAGAAAAAUGGGGACACAGGUGUCUGCCUAUUUGCACAGGCAUUAAAAAGUGUUGUAAAAU